UACGUAGGGUGCGAGCGUUAAUCGGAAUUACUGGGCGUAAAGCGUGCGCAGGCGGUUCGCCAAGUCAGGUGUGAAAUCCCCGGGCUUAACCUGGGAAUUGCGCUUGAAACUAGCGGGCUUGAGUGUGGCAGAGGGGGGUGGAAUUCCACGUGUAGCAGUGAAAUGCGUAAAGAUGUGGAGGAACACCGAUGGCGAAGGCAGCCCCCUGGGUCAACACUGACGCUCAUGCACGAAAGCGUGGGGAGCAAACAGG
rnacentral:rRNA from 1 species